rnacentral:rRNA from 1 species
AGCGAACGCUGGCGGCAGGCCUAACACAUGCAAGUCGAACGGACCCUUCGGGGUUAGUGGCGGACGGGUGAGUAACACGUGGGAACGUGCCUUUAGGUUCGGAAUAGCUCCUGGAAACGGGUGGUAAUGCCGAAUGUGCCCUUCGGGGGAAAGAUUUAUCGCCUUUAGAGCGGCCCGCGUCUGAUUAGCUAGUUGGUGAGGUAAUGGCUCACCAAGGCGACGAUCAGUAGCUGGUCUGAGAGGAUGACCAGCCACAUUGGGACUGAGACACGGCCCAAACUCCUACGGGAGGCAGCAGUGGGGAAUCUUGCGCAAUGGGCGAAAGCCUGACGCGGCCAUGCCGCGUGGAUGAUGAAGGUCUUAGGAUUGUAAAAUCCUUUCACCGGUGAAGAUAAUGACUGUAGCCGGAGAAGAAGCCCCGGCUAACUUCGUGCCAGCCGCCGCCGUAAGAC